CAGACAUCAAUCCAUGCUCUCCAAAUCUUUCUGAACAAGUCUCUCAUAUUUCAAACUUGUGUAGGGCAUCUGCAGAUGGAAACAUGUGUGACAGAAGGUCAGCACUUACUGGCUGCAUCUUUCUCUUACAACUGCAGUGCCAAGAGGAACCAAUGAAGACUGAAGCCCUAUUGUACAAGGCACUAUGCAACAUAAGAAGAGACAGCCCCCACCUUGAAAAACUUACCAUCUUGUAACCUUCAUCCAUCCAACUGGAAGUAGGUUCAUUAACCAUCUACACAGAUGCAUCUCUCCCUCUCCUCAGCUAAGCCAACUUCAGCAAACAUUCUUCAGUAAAGUUAAGAAUGGGGAAACUAAGUUUAAUGAUAGCAUAAUCAAGGAGACAGAUGGGACGUCUCAGAUGUGCAUAGUCAGCAUUUAUAUUCUGCUCUGAAUAAUUUAAUUUGAGAAGUGGACACGGCCCAAUGUAAUAUAUUUACAAUGGGGUAAAGCUGCUUUAAUGCACACCUAUAAAUAAUCCUUUUCAUAGUUGGUUUGUUUUUUGCUGCCCUUCGGUGAACUAGCAGAAAAAGUGAAAUGAGAAUUCUUUAAAGUAAAAUCUCUAAUGCUCACCAGCGUGUUUUUUCAGCAGUGAGCUGCAGAUGCAACUAAUAUUUAACUGGCUAGCUCCCAAAAGAUGUGGCCAGUUCACUGCAUUAAUCAAAAGCUAUCCUUUGCUUCCUGACAUGCAUAUUUAGAGUGUGCUAUGCUGCUGCAUGAAGUCCUGAUUCUCAUCUACCCAGCAAAAGUGAUCUUCUGCAUACAGGGGUCAAGUCACAUCUGACAAGCACUUUGUGAUAAAUGAAUGUUUCCUAUAAUCUGGCUUUUAGAAAAUGUUUUCCC